UACGUAGGGUCCAAGCGUUGUCCGGAUUUAUUGGGCGUAAAGAGUUCGUAGGUGGUUGCUUAAGUCUGGUGUUAAAUACCGAAGCUCAACUUCGGCAUGGCAUCGGAAACUGGGUGGCUGGAGUCCGUCAGAGGUAACUGGAAUUCCUGGUGUAGCGGUGAAAUGCGUAGAUAUCAGGAGGAACACCCGUGGCGAAAGCGAGUUACUGGGACGGUACUGACACUGAGGAACGAAAGCCUGGGUAGCGAAAGGG
rnacentral:rRNA from 1 species